GGGUUAAGUCCCGCAACGAGCGCAACCCUUAUCCUUUGUUGCCAGCGGUCCGGCCGGGAACUCAAAGGAGACUGCCAGUGAUAAACUGGAGGAAGGUGGGGAUGACGUCAAGUCAUCAUGGCCCUUACGACCAGGGCUACACACGUGCUACAAUGGCGCAUACAAAGAGAAGCGACCUCGCGAGAGCAAGCGGACCUCAUAAAGUGCGUCGUAGUCCGGAUUGGAGUCUGCAACUCGACUCCAUGAAGUCGGAAUCGCUAGUAAUCGUGGAUCAGAAUGCCACGGUGAAUACGUUCCCGGGCCUUGUACACACCGCCCGUCACACCAUGGGAGUGGGUUGCAAAAGAAGUAGGUAGCUUAACCUUCGGGAGGGCGCUUACCACUUUGUGAUUCAUGACUGGGGUGAAGUCGUAACAAGGUAACCGUAGGGGAACCUGCGGUUGGA
rnacentral:rRNA from 1 species